rnacentral:rRNA from 1 species
UCCUACGGGAGGCAGCAGUAGGGAAUCUUCGGCAAUGGACGAAAGUCUGACCGAGCAACGCCGCGUGAGCGAAGAAGGCCUUCGGGUCGUAAAGCUCUGUUGUUAGAGAAGAACAUAUCUGAGAGUAACUGUUCAGGUAUUGACGGUAGCUAACCAGAAAGCCACGGCUAACUACGUGCCAGCAGCCGCGGUAAU